GAUGAACGCUGGCGGCGUGCCUAAUACAUGCAAGUCGAGCGAACGGACGAGAAGCUUGCUUCUCUGAUGUUAGCGGCGGACGGGUGAGUAACACGUGGAUAACCUACCUAUAAGACUGGGAUAACUUCGGGAAACCGGAGCUAAUACCGGAUGAUAUUUUGAACCGCAUGGUUCAAAAGUGAAAGACGGUCUUGCUGUCACUUAUAGAUUGAUCCGCGCUGCAUUAGCUAGUUGGUAAGGUAACGGCUUACCAAGGCAACGAUGCAUAGCCGACCUGAGAGGGUGAUCGGCCACACUGGAACUGAGACACGGUCCAGACUCCUACGGGAGGCAGCAGUAGGGAAUCUUCCGCAAUGGGCGAAAGCCUGACGGAGCAACGCCGCGUGAGUGAUGAAGGUCUUCGGAUCGUAAAACUCUGUUAUUAGGGAAGAACAUAUGUGUAAGUAACUGUGCACAUCUUGACGGUACCUAAUCAGAAAGCCAAGGCUAACUACGUG
rnacentral:rRNA from 1 species